rnacentral:rRNA from 1 species
GAUGAACGCUGGCGGCGUGCUUAACACAUGCAAGUCGAACGAAGCAUUUAUAACAGAUUACUUUGGUUUGAAGUUCUUUAUGACUGAGUGGCGGACGGGUGAGUAACGCGUGUGUAACCUGCCUUGUAGUGGGGGAUCGCAGCUGGAUACGGCUGGUAAUACCGCAUAAGCGCACAAUGUUCCUUGACAUGGUGUGAAAAACUCCGGCGGAAUAAGAUGGAGCCGCGUCUGAUUAGCUAGUUGGUGAGAUAACAGCCCACCAAGGCGACGAUCAGUAGCCGAGCAGAGAGGGUGAGCGGCCACCUUGGAAGUGAGGCACGGCCGAGAAACCUACGAGAAGGAGCGGUGGGCAAUAUUACACAAUGGAGGAGACUCAAGUGGAGCGACGGGGCGUAAGGGAAGAUGUUAUGCGUUAAGUAAAACUCGAUCAGCAGGGAAGUGAGUGACGGUACCUGACUAAGAAGCUCCGGCUAAAUACGGU